rnacentral:rRNA from 1 species
AGCUUUUGAGUUAAAUAUAUUAUAAUAUUAGUUAUUUAUUUAAAGUGUUGUAAAACUUUAUUAAAAAAUAUAUUUAGGGGUGAUAGGCUAUACAAAAACUAAGAUAUCUUGAAUCUAAUUAAAAGUAUAUAGUACAUUCUACACGACUAUUAAGUGAUUAGGCUUAAUAGAAAUAUUAACUUUUUUUAGAUUAUUUUAAUUAUAAUUUAAUAACUAAAUUUUAUUUAUUAAAUAUUAUACAUUUAUUAAAAUUUAUAUGGAGUAAUUAGAUUAAUUUAAGUUUUAUAAAAAUUGUAAUAAUGUUAAUAUUAGUAUAUGAUUUAUAUUUAUUUGAUGAACUCGGCAAAAAUGUAUUUCUCAACUGUUUAUCAAAAACAUAACUAUGUGUAUAUAAUACAUAGCGGUUUCUGCUCAAUGAUUUAAUUAAAUAGCCGCAGUAUUCUGACUGUGCAAAGGUAGCAUAAUCAAUUGACUUAUAAUUGAAGUCUAGAAUGAAAGAAAAUAAUGGGAAGCCACUAUAUUUAGUAUUUAUAUAAAAAUUAUUUAUGAAGUGAAAAUACUUCUAUAGACAUAAAAGACGAGAAGACCCUAGAAAUUUUAAGUAAUUAUAUAAAAUAUAUGAGAAUUUUUUUGUUGGGGCGACAAAGUAGCAUAUAAACCUACUAAAAUUAACUUGCACUUUUUAAAUUGUAUGAUAAAAUUACUCUAGGGAUAACUAGCAUAAUAUUUUUAAAGUUUAUGACCUCGAUGUUGGAUUAGGAAAUAAUAACUUAAAAGGUUUUUUAUGUUGCUCUGUUCGAGCAUUAAACUCCUACAUGAUC